UACGUAGGGGGCAAGCGUUGUCCGGAUUCAUUGGGCGUAAAGAGCGUGUGGGCGGCCAGGUAGGUCGGUUGUGAAAACUGGAGGCUCAACCUUCAGAGGUCGACCGAAACCAUCUGGCUAGAGUCCGGGAGAGGAGAGUGGAAUUCCUGGUGUAGCGGUGAAAUGCGCAGAUAUCAGGAAGAACACCCGUGGCGAAAGCGGCUCUCUGGAACGGUACUGACGCUGAGACGCGAAAGCGUGGGGAGCAAACAGG
rnacentral:rRNA from 1 species